ACCCCACUAUUAACCCACAAGUAAAACUCUAAGUACUACAGUUUUUAAACUAAAACUUAAAUAACAUGGCGGCGAGCUUAAAUUUCAGAGGAACUUACCAGAUAAAUGAUAACCCGCAAUUUAUUCUUACUUUACCUAAAAGUUUAUAUAUCGUCGUCUAGUAGUCUUCCUAGAAGGUUACAAAAUGUAUUAAUACAAAAAGACAGAUCAUGACAUAGCCUAUGGUAAAGACAUAAGGUGAGUUACAAUAAGAAUUUCUUUCAGAUGGUUGCCUAAAGAUAGCCUUAAGAUGGAUUUGAAAGUAAUAGUUAACAUAAAUAUACUUUGAAUACUUCUAAGCUCGUGUACACACCG
rnacentral:rRNA from 1 species